rnacentral:rRNA from 1 species
UACGUAGGGUGCGAGCGUUGUCCGGAAUUAUUGGGCGUAAAGGGCUCGUAGGCGGUCUGUUGCGUCGGGAGUGAAAACUCAGGGCUUAACCCUGAGCCUGCUUCCGAUACGGGCAGACUAGAGGUAUGCAGGGGAGAGCGGAAUUCCUGGUGUAGCGGUGAAAUGCGCAGAUAUCAGGAGGAACACCGGUGGCGAAGGCGGUUCUCUGGGCAUUACCUGACGCUGAGGAGCGAAAGUGUGGGGGAGCGAACAGG